rnacentral:rRNA from 1 species
GGACGAACGCUGGCGGCGUGCCUAAUACAUGCAAGUAGAACGCUGAGGUUUGGUGUUUACACUAGACUGAUGAGUUGCGAACGGGUGAGUAACGCGUAGGUAACCUGCCUCAUAGCGGGGGAUAACUAUUGGAAACGAUAGCUAAUACCGCAUAAGAGUAAUUAACACAUGUUAGUUAUUUAAAAGGAGCAAUUGCUUCACUGUGAGAUGGACCUGCGUUGUAUUAGCUAGUUGGUGAGGUAAAGGCUCACCAAGGCGACGAUACAAAGCCGACCUGAGAGGGUGAUCGGCCACACUGGGACUGAGACACGGCCCAGACUCCUACGGGAGGCAGCAGUAGGGAAUCUUCGGCAAUGGACGGAAGUCUGACCGAGCAACGCCGCGUGAGUGAAGAAGGUUUUCGGAUCGUAAAGCUCUGUUGUUAGAGAAGAACGUUGGUAGGAGUGGAAAAUCUACCAAGUGACGGUAACUAACCAGAAAGGGACGGCUAACUACGUGCCAGCAGCCGCGGUAAUACGUAGGUCCCGAGCGUUGUCCGGAUUUAUUGGGCGUAAAGCGAGCGCAGGCGGUUCUUUAAGUCUGAAGUUAAAGGCAGUGGCUUAACCAUUGUACGCUUUGGAAACUGGAGGACUUGAGUGCAGAAGGGGAGAGUGGAAUUCCAUGUGUAGCGGUGAAAUGCGUAGAUAUAUGGAGGAACACCGGUGGCGAAAGCGGCUCUCUGGUCUGUAACUGACGCUGAGGCUCGAAAGCGUGGGGAGCAAACAGGAUUAGAUACCCUGGUAGUCCACGCCGUAAACGAUGAGUGCUAGGUGUUAGGCCCUUUCCGGGGCUUAGUGCCGCAGCUAACGCAUUAAGCACUCCGCUCUGUGGA